UACGAAGGGGGCUAGCGUUGCUCGGAAUCACUGGGCGUAAAGCGCACGUAGGCGGCUUUUUAAGUCAGAGGUGAAAUCCUGGAGCUCAACUCCAGAACUGCCUUUGAUACUGGAGAGCUGAGUCCGGGAGAGGUGAGUGGAACUGCGAGUGUAGAGGUGAAAUUCGUAGAUAUUCGCAAGAACACCAGUGGCGAAGGCGGAGCU
rnacentral:rRNA from 1 species